rnacentral:tRNA from 3 species
GCCGCUGUAGCUCAGUGGUAGAGCAACGCAUUCGUAAUGCGUGGGUCGUCAGUUCAAAUCUGACCAGCGGCU